rnacentral:rRNA from 1 species
AGCUCCAAUAGCGUAUAUUAAAGUUGUUGCAGUUAAAAAGCUCGUAGUUGGAUUUGUGGUGUGUCCUGUCGUUCCAGCAGCUAAGCUGUUGUGUACGUACGGGUCUGCCUUUCAUGGGAUUGUUGGCUUUGUGGCAUUAGGUUGUCGCAUUGUUGAUGCCCAUCUUUUACUGUGAAAAAAUUAGAGUGUUCAAAACAGUCGUCGUGACAUUGAAUAUAUUAGCAUGGAAUAAUGAUAUAGGACCUUGGUACUAUUUUGUUGGUUUGCGCACUGAGGUAAUGAUUAAUAGGGACAGUUGGGGGUAUUCGUAUUCCAUUGUCAGAGGUGAAAUUCUUGGAUUUUUGGAAGACGAACUACUGCGAAAGCAUUUACCAAGGAUGUUUUCAUUAAUCAAGAACGA